rnacentral:tRNA from 1 species
GGCGCGUUAGUAUAUCGGUUAGUACUCAAGGUUUUCAUUCUUGCAGGAUGAGUUCGACUCUCAUACGCGCUAC